rnacentral:rRNA from 1 species
UCCGUAGGUGGAUAAUUAAGUCAGAGGUGAAAUCCUGCAGCUCAACUGUAGAAUUGCCUUUGAAACUGGUUAUCUUGAGUCAUUAUGAAGUGGUUAGAAUGUGUAGUGUAGCGGUGAAAUGCAUAGAUAUUACACAGAAUACCGAUUGCGAAGGCAGAUCACUAAUAAUGUACUGACACUGAUGGACGAAAGCGUGGGUAGCGAACAGGAUUAGAUACCCUGGUAGUCC